GACGAACGCUGGCGGCGCGCCUAACACAUGCAAGUCGAACGAGCGAGAGAGAGCUUGCUUUCUCAAGCGAGUGGCGAACGGGUGAGUAACGCGUGAGGAACCUGCCUCAAAGAGGGGGACAACAGUUGGAAACGACUGCUAAUACCGCAUAAGCCCACGACCCGGCAUCGGGUAGAGGGAAAAGGAGCAAUCCGCUUUGAGAUGGCCUCGCGUCCGAUUAGCUAGUUGGUGAGGUAACGACCCACCAAGGCGACGAUCGGUAGCCGGACUGAGAGGUUGAACGGCCACAUUGGGACUGAGACACGGCCCAGACUCCUACGGGAGGCAGCAGUGGGGAAUAUUGCACAAUGGGGGAAACCCUGAUGCAGCGACGCCGCGUGGAGGAAGAAGGUCUUCGGAUUGUAAACUCCUGUUGUUGAGGAAGAUAAUGACGGUACUCAACAAGGAAGUGACGGCUAACUACGUG
rnacentral:rRNA from 1 species